GGUUGUGGCUCAGUGGUAGAGCACUUCCCUAGCAUGUGUGAAGCACUGGGUUCAAUUCUCAGCACCA
rnacentral:tRNA from 1 species